ensembl:snRNA U6 U6 spliceosomal RNA
AUGCUCUCUUCAGCAGCACAUACACUAAAAUUGGAAUGACAGAGAGAUUAGCGUGGCCCCUCAUAAGGAUGACGUGCAAAUCCCAUGGAGUGCUCCAUAUUUAG